GAUGAACGCUGGCGGCGUGCCUAAUACAUGCAAGUCGAGCGAACGGACGAGAAGCUUGCUUCUCUUAUGUUAGCGGCGGACGGGUGAGUAACACGUGGAUAACCUGCCUAUAAGACUGGGAUAACUUCGGGAAACCGGAGCUAAUACCGGAUGAUAUCUUGAACCGCAAUGUGCAAAAGUGAAAGACGGUCUUUCUGUCCCGGAUAGAUGGGUCCGCUCUUCAUUAGCUAGUUGGGAAGGUAACGGCCUACCAAGGCAAUGAUGCAUAGCCGCCCUGAGUGGGUGAUCUGCCACCCUGGAAGUGAGACAGGGUCCAGACUUCUACGGUAGGCAGCAGUCGGGAAUCCUCCGCAAUGGGCGAAUGCGUGAUGGAGCACAGUCGCGUGAGUGAUGAUGGUGUUCGGAUCGGAAAACUAUGUUAUUAGGGAAGAACAUAUGUGUAAGUAUUUGUGCAGAUCUUGACGGUACCUAAUCAGAAAGCCACGGCUAACUACGUG
rnacentral:rRNA from 1 species